UACGGAGGGUGCGAGCGUUGUCCGGAAUCAUUGGGCGUAAAGGGCGCGUAGGUGGCCCGGUCAGUCUUUGGUGAAAGCGCGGGGCUCAACCCUGCGUCGGCCAGGGAUACUGCCGCGGCUGGAGCACUGUAGAGGCAGGCGGAAUUCCGGGUGUAGCGGUGGAAUGCGUAGAGAUCCGGAAGAACACCGGUGGCGAAGGCGGCCUGCUGGGCAGUAGCUGACGCUGAGGCGCGACAGCGUGGGGAGCAAACAGG
rnacentral:rRNA from 1 species